rnacentral:tRNA from 1 species
AAGGGCUUAGCUUAAUUAAAGUAAUUGAUUUGCGUUCAUUUGAUGUAGGAUAGAGUUCUGCAGUCCUUA